rnacentral:rRNA from 1 species
AGAGAGAGACAUGCGCGCAUAUCAAUAAGCGGAGGAAAAGAAACUAACAAGGAUUCCCUUAGUAACGGCGAGUGAAGCGGGAAGAGCUCAAAUUUGAAAUCUUCAAGGUUCUACCUUGACGAAUUGUAGUUUAUAGAAGUGUUUUCUGUUAGUGGAGUGGCAAAGGUUCUUUGGAAUAGGACAUCAUAGAGGGUGAGAAUCCCGUAUUUGGUCAUUCCUCCUAGCGUUGUGAUACACUUUCAACGAGUCGGAUUGUUUGGGAAUGCAGUCCAAAAUGGGUGGUAAAUUUCAUCUAAAGCUAAAUAUUGGCGAGAGACCGAUAGCGAACAAGUACCGUGAGGGAAAGAUGAAGAGAACUUUGAAAAGAGAGUUAAACAGUACGUGAAAUUGUCAAAAGGGAAGCGUUUGACACCAGUGUUGUUUUUCCGAAAAUCAAUUACGAAUGUUUUGUUUUUGAGGAGUUAUGACUUCAUCGGCUUGCUUCUUUCUUUACGAAACUUUCUUAAUGCACUUUUCGUUUAACAAGUCAACAUCAAUUUCUUUUGUUGUAAAAGGGUAUGAGGAAGGUGGCUUUCUUUUCGGAGAAAGUGUUUAUAGCCUUGUGCCUCUGCAAUCGGAGAGAUUGAGGUCUGCAGCGUAGAUCCUUCGGGGUUAGAUACGUAGAUGCUAAGUUAUAGCUUUUUCAUAGACAACUUGUUGACUAUGAUUAGUCAUGUAGCUUACUCGUUGACGCUAUUUUACCUACGCUUAGGAUGUUGAUAGUCACAGCGUGUAC